GGCUCGGUGGUGGGUGGCCCACAUCUGCAACUAAUAGCCCAUUUGGAAGCAGUCUAUGCAGAGAUUGCCUGUUCGACUCAGGCCCGAGCCA